GCUUUGGGAACUUGAGUUCCUUAUGACAUUGGAUAUUUGAGUGCUGACCCUUCCACACUGCACUAAUAAUUCGAUUAUGUAAUAUAUUUGGGUGUAAGCAUUGCCCGGAGUCCACUUACGACUCUUAGGGAACUUUGACACAUCCCAAAUAAGAGAAAGGCUUUGGAUAUUUGAUCUUUGGAGUUGGUUUACUUCAUGCUUCAGAUAGAAGUCUGAAUUAAGCUCUGCUUGGUUGGGAUUUUAGCUUUCUGAUGUAAUUUUUACUUUUUCUUAUUCAUUUCUGGACUGUAAUAAUUGUAAUAGGGUUUUAGUGAAAAGGGGAGGGUCACUCAUCUAUGCAUAAGGGUAGAUAUCAUGUUCAUAGGUAUUUACCUCUGCAAUCAUAUCCUGCUCUCACUUCUGCAUUUCGUGUGUAAAAAUCAUGUCCAUAGGCUUCUGUACUUUCUGCAUCUUA
rnacentral:lncRNA from 1 species